rnacentral:rRNA from 1 species
UACGUAGGGGGCGAGCGUUAUCCGGAAUUAUUGGGCGUAAAGAGUACGUAGGUGGUUUUGUAAGCGUGAGGUGAAAGCCCAGGGCUUAACUCCGGCGAGCCUUUCGAACUGCAAGACUUGAGUGCAGGAGGGGAAAGUGGAAUUCCUAGUGUAGCGGUGAAAUGCGUAGAUAUUAGGAGGAACACCAGUGGCGAAGGCGACUUUCUGGACUGUAUCUGACACUGAGGUACGAAAGCGUGGGGAGCAAACA